rnacentral:rRNA from 1 species
UAGGGAAUCUUCCGCAAUGGACGCAAGUCUGACGGAGCAACGCCGCGUGAGUGAAGAAGGAUUUCGGUUCGUAAAACUCUGUUGUUAGAGAAGAACAGCGCAUAGAGUAACUGUUAUGCGUGUGACGGUAUCUAACCAGAAAGCCACGGCUAACUACGUGCCAGCAGCCGCGGUAAUACGUAGGUGGCAAGCGUUGUCCGGAUUUAUUGGGCGUAAAGCGAGCGCAGGCGGUCAAUUAAGUCUGAUGUGAAAGCCCCCGGCUCAACCGGGGAGGGUCAUUGGAAACUGGUUGGCUUGAGUGCAGAAGAGGAGAGUGGAAUUCCAUGUGUAGCGGUGAAAUGCGUAGAUAUAUGGAGGAACACCAGUGGCGAAGGCGACUCUCUGGUCUGUAACUGACGCUGAGGCUCGAAAGCGUGGGUAGCAAACAGG